rnacentral:rRNA from 1 species
AGUGGGGAAUUUUCCGCAAUGGGCGAAAGCCUGACGGAGCAAUACCGCGUGAGGGAGGAAGGCCUUUGGGUUGUAAACCUCUUUUGAUUGGGAAGAAGAUCUGACGGUACCAAUCGAAUCAGCCUCGGCUAACUCCGUGCCAGCAGCCGCGGUAAGACGGAGGAGGCAAGCGUUAUCCGGAAUUAUUGGGCGUAAAGCGUCCGCAGGUGGCUUUUCAAGUCUGCUGUUAAAGACGGAAGCUUAACUUCCGCAAGGCGGUGGAAACUGAAAGGCUAGAGUCCGGUAGGGGUAGAGGGAAUUCCCAGUGUAGCGGUGAAAUGCGUAGAGAUUGGGAAGAACAUCGGUGGCGAAAGCGCUCUGCUGGGCCGGAACUGACACUGAGGGACGAAAGCUAGGGGAGCGAAAGGGAUUAGAUACCCCUGUAGUCCUAGCUGUAAACGAUGGAGACUAGGCGUGGCUUGUAUCGAC